CGCCCCCCAUAUCUUUCAUGACGCCUCUGCAAGGAAGCAUAAAAUCAUAAAACUGAAACUAAACUUCAAACUUCAGGUUACUGCUGAACAAUUCAGUCUUUCAGAGAGAAUAAAGACACCAUGGCUCUGACUCUGAACAGUUUUAAAUGCUCUCUUUUCAAUCUAGACGGUUUAUAUUUAUGCAACCGUUCUCUGCUGAUGAUUGUUGUGGUUCUGGUGGCAGCAUGGUACUGGUAUUAUCACUGGGUAGGACAUUGAAGAGGAAAGCGGGAGUAAAACAAAAUGAGUCUUUUUGAAAUUCCUGCUAAAGCAUCGUUGGAUUCCUGACUCUGUAAUAAACACAAACAUGGCAGACA